AGACAGGUGGGUGCAUGGUUGUCGUCAGCUCGUGUCGUGAGAUGUGGGUUAAGUCCCGCAACGAGCGCAACCCUUGUGUUUAGUUGCAAACAGGUCAAGCUGUGCACUCUAGACAGACUGCCGUGGACAACACGGAGGAAGGUGGGGAGUGACGUCAAAUCAUCAUGCCCCUUAUGAUCUGGGCUACACACGUGCUACAAUGGCCGGUACAACGGGCAGCGAAGGAGCGAUCCGGAGCGAAUCCUAAAAAGCCGGUCCCAGUUCGGAUUGCAGGCUGAAACUCGCCUACAUGAAGUUGGAGUUGCUAGUAAUCGCGAAUCAGAAUGUCGCGGUGAAUGCGUUCCCGGGUCUU
rnacentral:rRNA from 1 species